UACAUGUGGGGCAAGCGUUGUUCGGAAUUACUGGGCAUAAAGGGUGCGUAGGUGGCUUGUUAAGUCAGGGGUGAAAUCCCACGGCCCAACCGUGGAACUGCCUUUGAUACUGGCGAGCUUGAGUGCGUGAGGGGUGAUCGGAACGAGUAGUGUAGCGGUGAAAUGCGUAGAUAUUACUCGGAAGGCCAACGGCGAAGGCAGAUCACUGGUACGCAACUGACACUGAGGCACGAAAGCGUGGGGAGCAAACAGG
rnacentral:rRNA from 1 species